AAUUUUAAGGUCAAGCUACAAAGGGCGCAUGGUGAAUGCCUUGGCACUAGGAGCCGAAGAAGGACGCGAUAAGCUGCGAUAAGCCUUGGGUAGCCGCAAAUAGGCUGAGAUCCAGGGAUUUCCGAAUGAGGAAACUCACAUGGGUAACCCCAUGUAUCAUGCACUGAAUACAUAGGUGUAUGAGGGUAAACCCGGGGAACUGAAACAUCUAAGUACCCGGAGGAAGAGAAAGAAAAAUCGAUUUCCUAAGUAGCGGCGAGCGAACGGGAAAGAGCCCAAACCAGAAACUUGUUUCUGGGGUUGUGGAUAGAUCAUAAAAGAAGAGGUAUCUUAAUCGAAGAGGGCUGGAACGCCCUACCAUAGAAGGUAAUAGUCCUGUAGAUAAAAAGAGAAAACUUCGAGAUCUAAUCCAGAGUACCACGAGACACGUGAAACCUUGUGGGAAGCAGGGAGGACCACCUCCCAAGGCUAAAUACUACCUAGUGACCGAUAGUGAAGCAGUACCGUGAGGGAAAGGUGAAAAGAAC
rnacentral:rRNA from 1 species